rnacentral:tRNA from 1 species
GGGGCCAUAGCUCAGUUGGGAGAGCGCCUGAUUUGCAUUCAGGAGGCCGUCGGUUCGACUCCGUCUGGCUCCA